AGUGAACGCUGGCGGUAGGCCUAACACAUGCAAGUCGAGCGAGUGGCGGACGGGUGAGGAAUACAUGGGAAUCUACUCUGUGGUGGGGGAUAACGAAGGGAAACUUAAGCUAAUACCGCAUACGAUUGGAUGAGCCGAUUUGGGAUUAGCUAGUUGGCGGGGUAAUGGCCCACCAAGGCGACGAUCCGUAGCUGGUCUGAGAGGAUGAUCAGCCACACGGGAACUGAGACAGGGUCCAGACGCCGACGGGAGGCAGCAGUGGGGAAUAUUGGACAAGGGGCGAAAGCCUGAUCCAGCCAUGCCGCGUGUGUGAAGAAGGUCUUCGGAUUGUAAAGCACUUUAAGUUGGGAGGCGUUACCAACAGAAUAAGCACCGGCUAACUUCGUGCCAGCAGCCGCGGUAAUAC
rnacentral:rRNA from 1 species